CAUAUAUAUAUAUAUAGAGAAUAGCCGAGAGGAAAAGAGGAGCAACGGCAUCGCCACCACUAUCACCCACCAUCACCACUCAUUGCCACCACUACUACCCACCAUCACUAGCCAUCGCCACCACUACCACCAUCACCGAAGAUCGAUGUUUUACCGGUGGUGGUCUUCAAACCUUAGGAAGUGGUCUUCUUUAUUUGUAGUUGAUUACCGGUGGUGGGUCUUCGAGCUUGUUGCCGUCGUUGAACAAGAAGAGUGGUGGGUUUUCGGGGUCGUUGAAGAAAAAGAAGGGUGGGUCGCCACCGCAAAAACCUUAAGUUCCACCGUCCGAUAAAUUGAUGAGAGAGAAAGUAAAAGCAGAGGCACAAACAGACCCAUUCAGUAGUAUUCUCAGUACCAUCCAUUUCAAUCACUCCAAACCCAUUGCAGAAGCCCAAGUCUUUUUUCAUUCUCACUCCCUUCACACACACACACACAGACGUAUGUAUGUAUGUGGAAGUCUUCUUUGAAGAGAACAAUUUAAUUGUGUAAUGUGUAGCUUGAAUGGGCUAUGAAUAUGCUCGAUUGCUGACUUGAAUCUGUCAAUUUUGUGUGGAGAUUUGGUUUACUCAAAAGUUUUUGUGCUGAAUUAGUUUUUCGUGCCUUUGAAGUCCAAAAUUAGGGUAUUUCGGUGGUUAUUGCUUCGAUUGUCUGUGAGUGAUCAGUGCAGCUGAAAUCUGAAGAGUUCGUUAUGUUUUUUAGGAAUUAGAAGCUCAUGACCUUCAAGUAGAUGAGAAUCGGGAGGUUUCUAGAGUUGAAGCAAGCAAUAAGGGUUUGUGUGAGGGUUUUUUUUUUGGGGUCUUCCCUCUUGAGCUGGAAAUGUGAAGGUUAAUUAGUUGAAAAUUUGUCAACAUGAAGUUCUUUAUUACAGAUUGGUGUAUUUGGGUUUGGACGAAGAAGAUCAAGAACGGAUGAAGCUGAAACCCAUCGUGGUCUGGUUGAAGAUAAUGGAAUCAUUGUUUCUUAGCACCAAAUCUAGUUGGCAGGAGGUGGUAAUUUUGCAUCGUAAAUGUAUGAUGGUGUUUUUAGGUGGGAAGGAAGUGGAUGAAGCGGUUGAUCAACUCUGUGGGUGUUUUAGUCUUUUUAAAAUGUUUAAUAUUUUAUGGUUAAAAUGAAUUAAAUAUUGAGGGCACUUUUGUCUUUUUACAUCUUCUAAGGACAUGUUUGGACCUUUGAGGAUGUUAACUUUAUCAAACCUAAGGGUGUAGUCGUUAAAAAAUGAAAGGUUGAACUUCCACCGGCUCGGUGAUAAAAAAUAAAAAAAACUUCGACCGGCUCCGGUUGCGUCAGACAAUUCCAUCCUUCUGUCCGACCGGGUGUAAAACACUCCCUCUCUUUCAAUUUCUCUCUCUAAAGCUCUCUCUGCUCACUCAUUUUCUCUCUCUUCUUUUUGUUUGAUGUACUCUUCAGAGGCUAGGUUAUUUUUAUUUGCGGUUAAAUCGCAUCUGAAUUGGGGCAAAACCGAGCUCUAUCUGUGCUACACUCUCUCUCUUCACACACAGAUUCAUAUAGGCUUGUCGUGGAGUUUGGAUCGGAGUAUCUUUCUGGGAAGCAUGACUGGAUUGAAUGACUUCGUCCCAACUCCUUCGAGCUGUUCAUGUCCUACUCUCAAUUUGCAAUAAAUGUUUCAAAAGAGGAAA